rnacentral:rRNA from 1 species
CUGGCGACCAUAGCAAGAGUGAACCACCUGAUCCCUUCCCGAACUCAGAAGUGAAACCUCUUAGCGCUGAUGGUAGUGGGAUUACCCAUGUGAGAGUAAGUCAUCGCCAG